rnacentral:rRNA from 1 species
GAUGAACGCUGGCGGCGUGGAUAAGGCAUGCAAGUCGAACGGUAACAGGCCGCAAGGUGCUGACGAGUGGCGAACGGGUGAGUAAUGCAUCGGAACGUGCCCAGUCGUGGGGGAUAACGCAGCGAAAGCUGCGCUAAUACCGCAUACGAUCUAUGGAUGAAAGCGGGGGACCGUAAGGCCUCGCGCGAUUGGAGCGGCCGAUGUCAGAUUAGGUAGUUGGUGGGGUAAAGGCUCACCAAGCCAACGAUCUGUAGCUGGUCUGAGAGGACGACCAGCCACACUGGGACUGAGACACGGCCCAGACUCCUACGGGAGGCAGCAGUGGGGAAUUUUGGACAAUGGGCGCAAGCCUGAUCCAGCCAUGCCGCGUGAGUGAAGAAGGCCUUCGGGUUGUAAAGCUCUUUCGGUGGGAACGAAACGGGUGCGGCUAAUGCCCGCACUUACUGACGGUACUCACAGAAGAAGCACCGGCUAACUACGUGCCAGCAGCCGCGGUAA